AAAAAACUCGAAACUUGUUCCUGUUGGUGGUGCGACAAAACUGACUGUUCAUCCAUUAAGGCAUAGAAAAGGUAAUGAAUUUUAAUGUACUUCUUAAUAUAUUGAAUCACUGUUUAUUGGUUCUCAAAUGAUUUGUUUACUUUUUUUUUUAUACUUGGGAGUAUAUGUAGAUUCGUGAUGAGAAUAUUUUGUUGGUAAUAUGAUAUUGAUAUUUUAUUUAUCGAGAAUGAAAUAGGUGACUACUUUACGUGUGUUUCAACUAUUAUUUUAUCUAUGGUGUUCCACUUCAACUUGCUUUGAUCUUUGACCUUUGGUUAUACGAAGAAUAAUGACUAGCAUACUUUGUUUGUAAUUUGAUUUUGAUAAUAUAAGCUGUCUCGUAUCGCCUGAAGAACAAAGUCAGGUACUUGAAGGGACAAAUAAAGUCACAUACAUGUAUAUAGUCACAUGUGGUCAUAUAUAGUCAUGUGUAGUAACAUACAGUAAUAUAUAGUGUAGUCACAUAUAGUAAUAUAUAGUCACGUGUAGUAACAUACAGUAAUAUAUGGUGUAGUCACAUAUAGUAAUAUAUAGUUAUAUAUAAACUAUGUAGUCAUGUAGUCAUAUGUAGUCAUGUAUGAGUUAAGUGGGGAGUAUCUAUGUGUACCAGUAGGUGAUAGUGCAUGUGUGCACAUUUAUACUUGAAGCAAAAUUCAUUGUUUGUUUAACUCUUUUUCUUUUUCACAGGUCUUGGUAUUUGAACUAUUGUGUAGUAAGUUUUUUCACAGGUCUUGGUGUUUGAACUACUAUAUAGAAAGUUUUUGCGGAGUGGAUUGUGUUCGUUGUUCAAAACAAGCGGUUCUCGUGUUGACAAGUGCGAUUUGAGUCAAAUUUAGUCGUAUAGAUAACUGUAGUCAUGUAUAGUUCCAUGUAGUUAUAUAUAUUUAUAUACAAGCAAUGUGGUUUUUCUGAUGUAUAGUGAUCUUGAUGAUUGUGUUUUUUUUUUCACUUUUUUGUUAGG
rnacentral:lncRNA from 1 species